rnacentral:rRNA from 1 species
UUGGAGGGCAAGUCUGGUGCCCGCAGCCGCGGUAAUUCCAGCUCCAAUAGCGUAUAUUAAAGUUGUUGCAGUUAAAAAGCUCGUAGUUGAAUUUCGGGAUCAAUUUAUUGGUCGUGCCAACGGUACGCACUGGUACAAUUGGUUUCUCCCUUCUGACGAAGCAUGAUGUCAUUAAUUUGAUGUCGUGGGGAAUCAGGACUGUUACUUUGAAAAAAUUAGAGGGUUUAAAGCAGGCUUUGGCUUGAAUACAUUAGCAUGGAAUAAUGAAAUAGGACGUUUGAUCUUAUUUCGUUGGUUUCUAAGAUCGACGUAAUGAUUAAUAGGGAUAGUUGGGGGCAUUAGUAUUCAAUUGUCAGAGGUGAAAUUCUUGGAUUUAUUGAAGACUAACUACUGCGAAAGCAUUUGCCAAGGAUGUCUUCAUUAAUCAAGAACGAAAGUUAGGGGAUCGAAGACGAUCAGAUACCGUCGUAGUCUUAACCAUAAACUAUGCCGACUAGGGAUCGGAUGAUGUUAAUUUUUUAAUGACUCAUUCGGCGCCUUACGGGAAAC